rnacentral:rRNA from 1 species
UAGGGAAUCUUCCACAAUGGACGCAAGUCUGAUGGAGCAACGCCGCGUGAGUGAAGAAGGUCUUCGGAUCGUAAAACUCUGUUGUUAGAGAAGAACACGAGUGCGAGUAACUGUUCAUUCGAUGACGGUAUCUAACCAGCAAGUCACGGCUAACUACGUGCUAG